AGUAACACGUGGAUAACCUACCUAUAAGACUGGGAUAACUUCGGGAAACCGGAGCUAAUACCGGAUAAUAUUUUGAACCGCAUGGUUCAAAAGUGAAAGACGGUCUUGCUGUCACUUAUAGAUGGAUCCGCGCUGCAUUAGCUAGUUGGUAAGGUAACGGCUUACCAAGGCAACGAUGCAUAGCCGACCUGAGAGGGUGAUCGGCCAUACUGGAACUGAGACACGGUCCAG
rnacentral:rRNA from 1 species